UGGGGAAUAUUGCACAAUGGGCGCAAGCCUGAUGCAGCCAUGCCGCGUGUGUGAAGAAGGCCUUCGGGUUGUAAAGCACUUUCAGCGGGGAGGAAGGCGAUAAGGUUAAUAACCUUGUCGAUUGACGUUACCCGCAGAAGAAGCACCGGCUAACUCCGUGCCAGCAGCUGCGGUAAGACGGAGGGUGCAAGCGUUAAUCGGAAUUACUGGGCGUAAAGCGCACGCAGGCGGUCUGUCAAGUCGGAUGUGAAAUCCCCGGGCUCAACCUGGGAACUGCAUUCGAAACUGGCAGGCUAGAGUCUUGUAGAGGGGGGUAGAAUUCCAGGUGUAGCGGUGAAAUGCGUAGAGAUCUGGAGGAAUACCGGUGGCGAAGGCGGCCCCCUGGACGAAGACUGACGCUCAGGAGCGAAAGCGUGGGGAGCAAACAGG
rnacentral:rRNA from 1 species